rnacentral:rRNA from 1 species
ACGCGUAGGUAACCUGCCUUGUAGCGGGGGAGUAACUAUUGGAAACGAUAGCUAAUACCGCAUAACAAUGGAUGACACAUGUCAUUUAUUUUGAAAGGGGCAAUUGCUCCACUACAAGAUGGACCUGCGUUGUAUUAGCUAGUAGGUGAGGUAAUGGCUCACCUAGGCGACGAUACAUAGCCGACCUGAGAGGGUGAUCGGCCACACUGGGACUGAGACACGGCCCAGACUCCUACGGGAGGCAGCAUG